rnacentral:rRNA from 1 species
AUACAGAGGGUGCGAGCGUUAAUCGGAAUUACUGGGCGUAAAGCGCGCGUAGGCGGUUUAUUAAGUCGGAUGUGAAAGCCCUGGGCUCAACCUGGGAAUGGCAUUCGAUACUGGUAGACUAGAGUCUGGUAGAGGGCAACGGAAUUCCCGGUGUAGCGGUGAAAUGCGUAGAUAUCGGGAGGAACAUCAGUGGCGAAGGCGGCUAUCUGGAUCAACACUGACGCUGAGGUACGAAAGCGUGGGGAGCAAACAGGAUUAGAAACCCCGGUAGUCC